rnacentral:lncRNA from 1 species
CCCAGGUUCAAGUGAUUCUACUGUCUCAGGCUCCCAAGUAAUAAGGAUUACAGGUGCCUGCCACCACGCCUGGCUAAUUUUUGUAUUUUUAGUAGAGAUGGAGUUUCACCAUGUUGGCCAGGCUGGUCUCCAACUCCUAACCUCAAGUGAUUUGCCCACCUUGGCCUCCCAAAGUGCUGGGAUUACAGGCGUGAGCCACUGCACCUGGCCAACUGAUCUUGGAUUAAGUGGAGUCACCCUCUUCUUAUGUAGAGAGGAGAGAAAGGGAACAUUCAGAUGGCAGGUGGAGUGUGCAAUAGUUCAUAUAUCGCGGCUGCAUCUCUCUGUAAAUUACAACUCAAGUCAUUUUCUGAAGUUGAAGAAGUAGAGACAAUAGUGUUCGCUGAAAAUUGAGAGGUUUUUAAGUCCUGCAGAGGGCAAGUUACAUAAGUCAGCUGAUCAUAAGAGCACAAACUUAUAGCAGUAUCAGUGAAUUGCUGGCAUCUUGGAGCAACCCAGAUGCAGGCGUGGAGAAGUACACUGUUCUGUUCAUCUAGGGUUCAGCAUUUUCCACAACAAAAUGUACCUCAAAGACAAAUAGGCAAAGGAGUUUAGGGUACUGUCAUGUGAGUCAUCAGAAUGACAAGCAGGAACGUGAGCUGCGUGGAGCUGCUGGACAGGGAGACUGGAAAGGCUUAUAUGGUCAGAGACAGGAGGUGGGGACGCAGCCUCAGGAACGGUGUUGUUCUCAUUCUUGUAACAGCCUUUUCAGACAGCCUUUCCUUUCCCAACAGACGGUCGUGUUUUCUGUGCACAGCACAACCACACAGAGGCUGAGUCCUUCAGGCUCCCGUCAAGGCCCCACUGAGAGGGCAGCCCCGGGAGCUAGCCGGAGUCACUGCACCUGGCCUCCCAGGUUGGUCAUCACAGGCUUCCGAGCAGGCACGGCGGGAAGGAUAUCUAUGUGUUUGAAGCCUCUGAAAUCAAUUUUUGCAUACAGAAGAAAACAAAAACAGCCACCCUGUACUGCACAACUAGUUGGGACAUCCUAGGAUGAAAUUGAGACAAUACAAGUUCAGAAGGCUUCUGUUGUGCAAUCCAGAAUUCAGAAUCUGUCCUGAACCAUACUCAUGGAAACAACAAAGAGUUCUUCAAAUGCAACAGUCUGGCCCGUCCUAAAGACACAGGAGAAUGUGAGGAAACCACAGUUAUUGCGCAGUCCUGCUCCUGUGCUCAGUGGAUUGGGAAAAAGAAGAAGAAGAGUAAAGUCUGUGUUGACUUGUUUCUGGUCAUUUUUAUUUACCACCCAAUUCCUACGUGAAUUGGGUUAUGCCAUUUGUAAUGCAAAUCAAAUAUUACGUUCGUUCAUGAUUUAUAUGAUACUAAAUAAAAUGAAAAUUAGGCAUGUAGCAUUCCCAAAUUCACCCAUUCAAUAAAUAUUUAUUAAGCACUACUUUUAUCAGGCAUGUCUCUGAUCAUCAAGGGUGUCAUCCUGUUUUGUGUGUUUGUUUUUUCAGAAACUGGGUCUUGCUCUGUUGCUCAGGCCGGUCUCAAACUCCUGGGCUCAAGUGAUCCUCCUGUUUCUGCCUCCUGAGUAGUUGGGACUACAGGUGCACAUCAUCAUGCCCAGCUCAUAAGGAUACCAUCUUGAAGAAGGCUGUGAGGUUCCUGCUUUCAUGGAACUUACACUGUAGUGAUUUUGUUGGGAUGAGUUUUAGCCUUUAGAAUUCAUGCACAGCAAAGGGAUGUUAUCCUUGAAGAAGAGUUCUAGAAUUCGCUCCAUUGCCAAUUUUCUUCUAAUUAAUACAAAUCUCUCAUGAACCGAAUUUAUCAUUUCUUCAAUUCCCUCAUGUACCAGGGUGGUAGGUUUAAUAAAAAUAAUUACUGUUAAUAUAGUUUAAGGUUUUCAGAUAAGGUCUUCAGAUAAGGCUUUCAGGUUUUUCUAUCUGACUUUGAGAUUCCCUAUCUGCUAAUUUGCAUGAGAGUUUUAAAAUAAUAAACUCUGAAAAUUCAUCUUGCAAAUAGGAACUAUGGGUAAUAGGUUUAUGAAUACAACAACAAAUAUUUUUAAUUGAAGUAUUAAUUAAAAAGGGCACAACAAUGGCAAAUAUUAGAAAUACAUGUAGUUUUCCAUUUAACUUA